UACGUAGGGUGCGAGCGUUAAUCGGAAUUACUGGGCGUAAAGCGUGCGCAGGCGGUUCUCCAAGUCCGUUGUGAAAGCCCCGGGCUCAACCUGGGAAUGGCAGUGGAAACUAGGGGACUUGAAUCUGGCAGAGGGGGGUGGAAUUCCACGUGUAGCGGUGAAAUGCGUAGAGAUGUGGAGGAACACCGAUGGCGAAGGCAGCCUCCUGGGCCAAUACUGACGCUCAUGCACGAAAGCGUGGGGAGCAAACAGG
rnacentral:rRNA from 1 species